UUCACAACUGAGUUGGUGGAUCUUGAUUGC
rnacentral:piRNA from 1 species